rnacentral:lncRNA from 1 species
GAGUGAGCAGGGGACCAAAAUCAGGGGCGGGGCAAGGCAGAGCUAGGACAGGCAUGGGGCAGGACCAAAUGGAAGAGAAAGAGGUUCCUGAAGGUGAAGGAGCCCAAAAGUGAGGUGAGACCAAAGUGAUGGGUGUGGCCUGAAGGGGAGGAGCCCAUAGUGGGUGGAGCCAGACUGAGUGGAGGCAGGGCUUGGACAGAGAGAGGGAGCUGGUCAUAGAAUGUAGGUGAGGUUGAGGGUUUCUGGGGUCUUUCAGAAACGCAAUGCCACGAGCCAGUCCACCUAAGGUCUAACCAUCGUCUGCAGCCUCUGGCUCCAAACCUUUUGAGGAAAGGAAGGGAUGGGUCCCUGAGAGACCUAGGCCUAUGAUUUCUCCUGUUCCAAUUUGUCCUGCCGGGACUUCCCACUGUGAAGGCAGAGAGCCUCCCCCCUCCGCGGGGAUGCGAGUUGCUUCCUUCUCCUUCCAAAGAUCCAUGAUUGGACCCUCAGCCCCUCACUGCACACACAAGCGGCCCCAGAGUCCGCCCACUGGCCAAGCUCAUUCAUUCAGCAAGCAUUUUCUAGGAGCACAGGGGUUAUGUCAGUGCCUUUCUAUAGGCACCAAGGCUCAUUCACCACGGUUUCCUCAGGGGCUCCGCCAAAUGCCUGGUACAGAGGAGUACUCAGCCCAGUGCCAGAAACUGCAGCUGGAGCCACUGACCUCGGAUGACUCUGACAACUACAAGUGCAUCGCAAGCAAUGACCAUGCAGACACCAUCUAUACUGUGUCCUUGCCGGUGACCGAAGGUGAGCCUGCCCCCUCCUCCUGGGGACCAACCUCCCCCUGUCUGACCCCAUCCCUCUCUCUGUACUCAGGCUAAGAAAAAGUGGAUUUCAAAAAGAUGUUGAAGAAGAGGUGAGGCUCGGAGGCUCCUCUGUCCAGGGCGUGGAACCCCCACCCUAUAGGCCAGAGCUUCUAGAAGCCCUAUCAACAGGGCUCUGAGUUAACAGCCCAUCCUCCGAGGAUCCAUGGAGUGGGGAGGGGCAUCUCAAGGCUCGAAAAGCCUCCUUUUGUCUUCAGAGAAGGGCUUUAAGUCCAAGCUUGGUACCCUCUGCCUUCCAGGGGACCCCCUGCUCCCAAGAAGAAGCAGAAGAAGGUGACAGAUGAGAAAGAGAUGCUGGAGAUUUUGUCCAAGGUGCCCUUUUAAGAAGGACUUUGAGAAGGUCUGCAUGGAGUAUGGUUUCACCGACUUCCAGGGGCUGCUCAAGAAGCUCAAAGAGAUGAAAAAAGUGGAGGUGGAGGUCAAUGUCCAUCAGGGGGGCAGGGGGCUGCAGGCCAGGGGCUAGGCCUUACCAAAAAAGUUCCGGUGCCUGAGUGACUUUCGAUGGCAAGGUCUUCCUGCUCUGCGCAUGCACAGGUAAGGGCAAACUGUACUGCAGGGGCAGGAAAGGAACUUAAAUCACCUUCCUUCUAUCUCUCCUCUCUUCACUGCUCCCUGAUGUAUUUGCAUGGACUUUGGAGUCAGAUGGACCUGGAUUCAAAUUCCAGUUCUGGGAGUUCCCGUCGUGGCGCAGUGGUUAACAAAUCCGACUAGGAACCAUGAGGUUGCGGGUUCGGUCCCUGCCCUUGCUCAGUGGGUUAACGAUCCAGCGUUGCCGUGAGCUGUGGUGUAGGUUGCAGACGCGGCUCGGAUCCCGCGUUGCUGUGGCUCUGGCGUAGGCUGGCAGCUACAGCUCCGAUUCGACCCCUAGCCUGGGAACCUCCAUAUGCCGCAGGGGCAACCCAAGAAAUAGCAAAAAGACAAAAAAAAAAAAAAAGACAAAUUCCAGUUCUGCUGUCUUAUUAACUGAGUAUCCUUGGAAGGCGGGGUGUUUCUCUGG